rnacentral:lncRNA from 1 species
AGAGAGUGUUGCAAGAAAUUAACUACUUACAGAAGAUAAAUCGACAAGAAAGGACAGAGGAGGACUUGACAAAAAUCGAGCAGGUGGGCAGACACUGAAAUUUUUCAGGAGACUGAGCUUGUGGGCAAGUCACUUGGAAGAAGUUCAAACGUCAUGUAUAUUACUGAUGUUGACAACUCUAACUGCAGGACACAGGAGAAGCAAUCCUAGCUGGGGUAGAGCUGGCAUUUUCAAGUAGCACAUCUGUGUGCAAAAAGAGAGAACGUGGUGUCCAAGCUUCAGGAUCUGACCCCAGAAGCCUCGCCAGCGGCGUCAGUCCGGCUUGCACUUCGGUCUGAGCUGCACUCGGGGGAAGCGUCGGGCUGUUUAGCCGCCGUAUCCCCUGGCAAUCUGUUCAGGAAAAUAGACAAGAAAGGGCUGCCCAGGGCUGCGCCAGCUUCAGAAUCCUGCUGCCAUCUAGGGAUGAGAUGAAGCGUCUUCCAGCAUGCAGCCGCCCUGAUGGAUCGCUGGGGCCUCGGGCGGGGUGCGCCGCUGUCCUUUCGCAGCCGUCCGGGCGGCUCUGCACGUGCAGCGCGCGGUCCCCACGCCCCCCCCCCCACCCCGCCCAGCAGCCCGCAACACCCCUGGUCUGCCGCGGGGGACCCUGCCGAUGCCUUUCGGGGUCGAGACUGGCGCGGUGGAAACCGCAGAGCAAAAGGAAACACAGACAAAAACAGUGAGAAGGAGAGAGGGCGUGUGGUGCUUUGCCAGAGAGGAUCUUGGAUGGAAAUCACCUAA